AAAGUAGGCUCGCUGUACCCACAGAUUGGUAAUUCCAUAUAAUGUAAUACAAAAUACUGCAUAUGUGAAAAGUCAAUAUUUUUGUGCCCUUUCUUUUUGUAAAUAUAACAGAAAACACACGCGUAAAAACGAUUAUGGUACGAAAAUAGAUGGAAAAUACAUAUUGGUACUUAAAUAUUUGUCGUAACUUUCGUCGCAACAAGUUUUACAAAAAGAGACCAUAAAGAAGUUAUCACGGACGCGCACUUUAGCAUCUGAUGGCGCAGUUUAAAACUUGUGUAACUUUACAACUAAGAUUCAAAAACAUAAUUGGAAAUGGUAGAAAUGUUCGUAUGUAUUUAUUAGCACUUUAAGCUACUAUGAGGUGCAUCUCGAUUUUUUAAAUUUAUGUACCAUUAAAACACUUAUAACCAA